rnacentral:rRNA from 1 species
GGAGUUAGCCGGUGCUUCUUCUGUGAGUGAUGUCCUUCCUGCCGGCUAUUAACCCGCAGGCCUUCUUCCUCACUGAAAGUGCUUUACAACCCGAAGGCCUUCUUCACACACGCGGCAUGGCUGGAUCAGGGUUGCCCCCAUUGUCCAAUAUUCCCCACUGCUGCCUCCCGUAGGAGUCUGGGCCGUGUCUCAGUCCCAGUGUGGCUGAUCAUCCUCUCAGACCAGCUACGGGAUCGUCGCCUUGGUGAGCCGUUACCUCACCAACCAGCUAAUCCGACAUAGGCUCAUCCGAUAGCGCGAGGCCCGAAGGUCCCCCGCUUUCCCCCGUAGGGCGUAUGCGGUAUUAGCCUGGGGUUUUCCCCAGGUUAUCCCCCACUACCGGGCAGAUUCCUAUGCAUUACUCACCCGUCCGCCGCUCGCCACCAGGGAGCAAGCUCCCCGUGCUGCCGCUCGACUUGCAUGUGUUAGGCCUGCCGCCAGCGUUCAAUCUGAGCCAGGAUCAAACUCUGA